GGGCCCUGGCUGCCGUUUCCCCCGCCCACCACGACCCAUCACCCUCGACCCCGCACCAGCCGCCCAGAUCAUGCCGCCGCCACCGUUGGGGGGCACCGUCUGGCUGGGGAUGGGAUCCCCCAAGGCGAGGUCCUUCCGGGCCUCCGAGGCCUGUAAGUGCCCUGGCUGCUCGAGGUGAGGGCGGUUUGGGACGUUGGUGGCAGAGAGGGAGGCAUGGCCAGGCCGGACACACACCCUUCCCCCAGACUUCUGACACCUCCGCCCACUUCCUCCAGAUCUGCCGACGCCAGGAAUGGUGGGACCCCUGUUAGACCCUUAAUUGGGGCUCAAAAUUCUCCCUUAGCAAAGGUGACAGCUGUUGAGUGGGGGAGGGGGAGGCAGGGCCUAAAUGGUGUUGCGGGAACCCAUGGGACCUACCACCACAGCAGUGUGGAAAAAGCCUUGCACCCAAAUCCAUUUGAGGCAGAGCUGUCAGCUCCUCCCCCCAUCCUUAGCCUGGCUUGAUGGUGACCUUGGCCUUCUGGGGAUUCUCACUAGUCCUGGGAGGAUAAAGAUUUGGGGUGUCAGAAAUAGGGAGCCAGCCUUUGUAGUGUGACCCCUCGGGGGACUGGGUCAGGACUCGGUGCAGGGGCCCCAGGCGGAAGCUGGGAGAGGAGCAACCUCAUUCAGCAAAGAACCCGCACUUCCUUUUGGCUUUGCUCUGCUGCAGUUUUUGGAGUCGGGUUUCAGGGUGCCCCAGCUCUGCAGCUCUGGUCUGCAGGGGCUGCCAGGUUUGCAGGCUGCCUUCAUGGAGCAGACACGCUGGGGGUGGGGCUGGCGCUGACGUUGCCUGCAGUGUUUACAAGGCCUCAGGAGCUCUUGGGUCACCAGGAGAAGGGACUACAGGACUGCUGCACUGAGGUCCUGCCUCUGGGGUAAGACCAGCCCUACCUUGUGUGUUAGAAAUGGGGAAAUAAAGGUCCAGGGAGGAGAAAGAGUUGGCCAACGUCAACAGCAAGGCAGAAAGGAAGCUGCCCUGGGAGAGAGAGAGACAGGCAGGCAGGCGGGUGGCUACCAGGUUCGGUUAGGGUUUGCCGGGCAGGCAUAGCUCCUUGGCCAAACCCGUUGGUUGGAGGGUGCUUGUGUAUCACUGGGCACAUGUCACUGGGCACAGGGCCUUGAAUGGCAAUGGAGGGUGAGGAUGAGGUGGCAUUCAGGGACCCCUUUUAGGAAACAGACAGUAAUGCCACUCACCCAGAGCAGGCCGAGUUUACCCUUCUCCUCUGUCACCCAUCUUUGCCAAAAUGACCAUAGUCAAAGGGUGAUGCAGGGGAGGGCAGGACCUGCUGGAGCAGUGCUGGGGGCCAGGGAUGUCCCUGAGCUAGACCUUAGGGAGAACCAGGUGCCAGGUAGAGUUUGUGCCAGGUGCUCUGUAUACCUCUCUGCCUGCUUGCCUGCCUUCUGUCUGUCCGUCUAACCAUCAUCUGUGCAUCCACCCACCAACCAAUCUGCUCUUUAUUGAACACAUGUUCAGUGAGUGCCUGCUGUGCCUGGUGAGUGAAUACAGUGAACAGGACAGACUCAGCCCCAGCCCCCUGGUGCUUGGUGAGGAAGACAAGCAGGUACUCAAAAAGAGAUACUCAGAGAUUUAAGAGCUGUGAAAGCAUGUAAGAAGAAUGCGAGCUCCAGCAAGGCAAGAUCCCGCCCUCCAUUAUGUUCCCUGCUAUUUCCUCAGCAUUUAGGACAGCGCUUGGCAUCUAGUAGAUGCUCGAUAAAUAUUUGCAAGUGCCUGAAACAGAAGACUAGCAAUGGGGUGCUUUAGAUAGAGGGUCAGGGAGGCUUUCUGAGGAGAUGGCACAUUUGAGCUGAGCCCUAAAUUCGCAGAAGGAGCCAGACAUGAAGAUGCAGAAAAGGGUGACCCAGGCGGUCAGCAGGAACCGUGAGGGCCAAGACCCUGGGGUAGGAGAGGGUUGGCUGCUCCAGUGACUGAAAGGCUGCCAGCAUGACUGGAGAUGGUACCAGGGGACGCCAGCAGGGCCUGGGAGGCCAUGGCUGAGAGCAAUGGGAAGACAUCAGGAGGCUUCAGGCAGGACAUAACGUCAUCUGGUUCACGUUUUUAAAGAUGACAGUGGCUAUGGGCAGACUGGCUGUAGGGGUAAGUGCAGAAGCAGAGAGGCCUGUUAAGAGACUGUUCAUUUGUCCCAGCAGGAGGUGGCAGGCUUGGGUGAGGGCAAGGUCAGUAAAGAUGGAGAAACAUGGACAGGCCAAGAACACCUUUUGUAGAUAGAACCUACAGGGUUGCUUACCACACUGGGUAUUGAUCGUAUAACAUCCCUGGUCCUGGGCCCUUUGCAUAUUACUCAUUCAGUCAUUGAACAAACGGUGUGCCUGCCUGCUCUUUCACCAGGCCCUGUGCUAGGUGCUGGAGAUCCCAAGAUGAAUCCCUGCCCCAAAGCCAAGCGCUUGACUUUCAUAGAGUAUAACUUGGUGAAGAAUGUCUUAUUUUUAUCUCUUUGUCACAUCAACAGAAGCACUUCCCCUUCCAAAUGAAAACAUUGGCAUAUUCUGGACCAAAAACUGAAGCCCAAAUGCUUUCACAUACUUUGCAGCAAACACUGUUCACACAGAAACACCACAGAGUGUGUCUCAGGGACACCCUUGCAAAGCUCUCAAAGUGACAGGGCCUGACCUUGGGAAGUCAGGUGGCCUGUGGCUGCGGGAAAGACAUGGAGCCUGGAGACCUGGUGGAGCCACACAUAGCAUUCCCUCUUCCCCACCCCCAAGUCCUGGAGGUGAGGGAGGGGUGGCUAGGAGCCAGGAGAAGCAUGGGAGAAAGAUCUGGAGAUGAUCUGAGGUACCUCCACACUUUCCGUCACUUUCCAUAAGCCAGGGGACACCGGUGGUCAGUUCUCACUCAUUCUCAUGUGCUCCAUAGGUUUCAAUGGCUGAUUUUUUGGAAGUGGAUUGCCAGGCCUUUCUUCUGAGGUGCCUCUGGGUAGACUUGAACUUCCAACCUUCCAGUUAGCAGCUGAACACAUUAACCGUUUGUACCAGCUAGGAACUCCCGAUCAGAUUACGUGGGCUCAAAUCCCAGUGCUAUCCGUGGCCUUGGGCGUACCACUUAACCUCCCUGUAUUUCUGUUUACCUCUCUAUAGAAUCGAGCUCACUGAGUAACUGUGAGCAUAAAACGAGAAAUGCGUAAAGUGCUUUGACUUUCCUGUGGAGAGUAAGUGAUACGUUGAUAUUAACCACUGGCAUUAGCAAUCAGACCUAGGGAAAGUGUACACUCAGGCUCUGUGAACGUGUAUGCGUAUGAAUAUAUGUAUAUCAUGCUGAGCAAAAGAGGCCCCACUGCCUGAGAGCCGCAUAGAUCCUGGUCUGGCUUCUCACUGGGCCUUCCCUGCCUGGGGACCCUCGAGAGGCCAUUUCCACUGGCCUGUGGUCUCCAAAGGGCACCAGAUGGGAAGCCUUGAAAAGCUGUGUGCUGCAGUUUUCUUAGAGUGUUAAUUAUCACCCAGGCACAGAGACUGGGGACUCAGGGCUUCUUCCCAGGAGAUAGGGCUGGCCUGGGAGCGGAGGAGAGUCCUCCUGUACCAGCAGCUCCAAUGCAGAGACAGCUCCCUGGAUCGAUUUGUCCCAGAUACUAAUGAGAGCAGCUGGUGCCUGCCAGCCCCCUUGGCACAGAGGGCGGCCCAUGGGUCAUUUCCAUACAGCAUGUUGGAUGGGGCCGGAACAGAGAGAGGAGACUGUUAUUGCCAGAGUCAGAUAACCUGGCAUAGCUCCAAUAGGAACUAGGGGUAACCAAACUCUCGGUGUGUCCUGUUACAGGGUCUCCCAGGCUUGAGUCCUGUCCUGGCUGGGUUCCUGCCCUGGUCCCUCACCAUGCCAAUCUGCAGCCAUGCUACCAGCACAACACCCAGGUUGGGCUUGUGCUGCCCUGCUCAGAAACCCAAACCUUCCGCGGGGAUAAUCAGAGGCAUGGGAGAUCCCAUGGUCAGGGCAGCCUGUGGGGAUGGAUUGGGUCGGAGGUGAGGAAACAAGGCAGGAGGCUGUGGCUGUCAUCCAGGCAAGAGACAGAUGAAGGUGGCAUGGGGAGGCAAGUACACCUAGAGGCCUGGCUGGACUCACCCGAAGGGCCUGGCCACAGGGUACUUCGGUACUGGCUGCCCCUUUGGAGAGGAGACCCUAGUACAGAUCUCAAGACAGCCAGGGUGCCAGGGCCCCUCUUCGUUGGCCUUGAGUUAUGAGGAUGCAAACUGGAGGUUUCAGACAAGGGCAGGCAGGGCCUACACUGAUCCCACAUCACUCGUGGCAUUCUGUUGUCAUAGCUGAGGGCAGGGAAGAGAGAGUGCUGUGCGUGGCUCCGCCCCAUCUCCAGCCCAGCGUCUUCAAUCUGAAGCAUCCCUGAUCUGUCUUUAUCAUUCAUGUCACAUUUUGGGAGAGUAUUUUGAAGAACAUCUCAAUUUGGGUUUGUCUGAUGUUCACUCUUGAGAUGAGAUUCAGGAGGUGCAUUCUUGGCAGGAGUGAGUAUGUCCUCAGUAUGUCACACUGAAAGGCACGUGGUGUCCGUCUGUCCCAGUGCUGGUGAUACCCACUUUGACCACUUGGCUAAGGUGGUGUCUGCCAGGUCUCUCCACUAUCAGGUUACUAUCUUUCUUUAUAGUUUAUCCUUUAAGAUUGAGUCCACUGGUUUUAGUGCCUCAUUUUUUAAAAAUCUUUUUUCUAUGUGAAUUUAUUUUAAAAAGAAUGUUUACAUCACUGUAAAGGGCAAACCAGCAUCACUUGGCAUGAAUACAAAUAAUUAGUACCAGAGUCGUUCACUUCUGGCCAAAUACUAAUGUUAGCUCGAUACACAGGGCCUUCUACCCGCUCUGUCUUUGCUAAAAAGGGAGAUUAGCAACUGCUAGGUGGCAGGACACACCAGCACCAAACUGGGACUUGCUACUGAAAGUAAUCACGAGGCUUAAACAAGCAAGAGAAUCACUGAUGCUCCAGUGGUAUUUAAGGCCAUCUCCAUGUGCCCCUAAGAUUGUUUUUAGAGGCUUUGGAGUAAGAUUUGGUUUAAAUCCAGCUCCACCAAGAUCUUGGGCAAGUGACUUCGUUCCCCAAGCCUCAGUUUCUUUCUCUGGAAAAUGACGAUAAGAGCUUAUGCAAAUUAGAUGAGAGGGUGAAGGACUUCUAGUCAGUGGUGAGCAAAUGACACUGGCUGCGUUAAUGGUGUGUCAGCCCUAGAGGUGGCAGGAGCCCAGGAAGCCAGCAGCCUUUCCUUGGGCGCCCUGACUCUUCUCAGCCAAUUAUCAGGGAGGGUGUGUCUGUGUGGGUAGCCUUUGAAACAGCCCAAGGGCACGUGACCGUUGGUACCCUCACCCUGAAGUGCUGGACACCAGAGGGGUAAGGCAUCAUUUCUGGCAUUCCUUCCUGGCAGGGAAGAUUCCUGUGAGCAGCACCCUGGGAAGAGGCAGGGUGGAGCUCAUUAGCUCCAUUAUAUGGGGAGGGAAACAGGCUUGGGGAGGGUCAGUGACUUUCUCCAGAUACCCAGCUAUGAGGUGGCUGAGUAAGGCUACCCAGCCCCUGUCUUAGCGCUUCCCCCAGUGAGGUACCCCGUCGCAGGGGUUCCCGGAGGCUAGACAUAUAGCCACACUGAGUGCCACCGGCUCUUGACCCCUCUCAGAGGGAGAAACCAGCCCUGGGUAUUUGGCUGGGAAUAGUGGUUUUGUUUCCACUGUAUUUUUAGGGUUGCCUUCUAUUUAUGACAAAUAAUACAGUUUUGUAUGCAUUAUAGUGACAUAAAGGUUUCUUUAAAAAUUUUGGAAUUUAAAAAAGGGCAUUGAUUUAAAAUAUUAAGUAAAUGAUAGUCCGGAUGGCUCUUGGCCGUGGUAAGACUGAUGGCUGGAGGCUAAGGCUGCCCUUCCUGAAGGCCUCUGGAGCCUUGGGCACUGGCCAGCUGGAGGUCCGUCCUAGACUGAGCAUUUCCAAAAAACCAACACUGAGGAGCUUCAGCAGCGAACAUAUAAAUCAGAAUCCAGAGUUGAGAAAUCGAUCCUUGUUUUGCUAUGACACUAGCUUCUACCAGGGACACACACUCCUGUAGAGACGGGCAGCUUCUCCGUCCUCAUCCCCUGUCAGCUGCUGGGAGAUGGCCAGACUACAGCUGUGCACUCAGCAGCUAGACCAGGCGGGGCACCAAGAUCGUUGGAGACGAGCUGUCAGACACAGGGUGAAGCAUGUCUGGGCAAUGUUUUCCCGAAGCCACCUUACUUGGUUGUUAGGUACGUGGAGAAAGGUUUCUAGAAGGCAAGGUCUUGUGGGGAAGAAAAGUGCUGUUCUCCUCAGAAAGCCUGAGCGUGGAGAAGGGCUCUCUGCCUGGCCCUGGCCUCUGGCUUUGAGUAGAGGUGGAGGAGGAGGGGCGAGGCACUGGGGCAGGGUAUUGCCAGGCACUCGACUGGCGCCAGUUCGUCCAACCCUCACCACAGCCCAAUGAGGUAGGCCUUGUCCCCACUUUCAGAUGAGGAGACUGAGGCCCAGAGAGAUGAAGUGAUCUGCCUGGGGUGGGGGGGCAGCUGAACGGCAGAAUAGAAUCCAUCUCCAGCGUGUCCAGAGCAGCACCCCACCAGCCCCCGAGCUAGGCAACUGGUCCACAGAACUAUCGAGCUGGGGCAUGCUUCUUAAAAUGAACCAAGUACCCAACUGUCAUCCUGAUGAGACAAACUGGAGACAGUCGGCUGCACCCUCUGUCCAGCUGGGGCGAGUGGCCUGGAACGGCCUGUAGAGAAACAGUUACAGUUUCAAAAAAAAAAAAAAAAAGGAUGGCUAAUAAAUUAACUCUCAGCUCUAAUGACAUUAGGAAGCUCUGUGAAGCUGGUGCCUCCGAGUGGAUAAGCUGUGCCUCCAAAGGCUUUUCCAUGUGGGGCUUUUGAUGCCUUGGAGGAAAGGGAUGAACCUAAGGUGCAGAGAGGAGUUAAGGCUUCAGGGGCAGACUGCUGAGAUUCAGAUCUCAGCCCCGCCAUGUGCCAGCUCUGUUUCCUUGCACAGCUUAACCUCUCUGAGCCUCCCCUGAAAUGCAGGGAUGAUGGUCAUGAUGGCCUCACCUCUUAGGGCUGUUUUGGGUAGUACAUGAGCUAAGAUGUGAGUUAAAGCAGUUAGUACGAUGUCGAGCAUAAAGCAAGUGCUUGAUAAAUGUCAGCUGUCAUCAUGAUUGUCAUUUGGGGGUUUGCUGAGGCUGGAUUUGCAAGCUGAGGAAAUACGGAGGUUGACCUUUAACAGCCAAACAGGGUGGCAGAGAUGAGAGGCGGAACUGUGUACCCUGACAUCCUCAAGCCACAGAUACAGAGACCUGGGGUCAUGUCUGUCUUCAGCUUGCUGUGUGACUUCAGGCAGGUCGGUGCCCUCUCUGGGCCUCUUCAUUGUCCAUUGUGGAGUGAGUGGACGCACUUAGAUCAGGGUUUCCCAAACCUCAUACGACAACGUUUUACUGUAUCUGCCUGUCACUCGAACUAUUGUUUACAUAGUUGUUUUCUUUAAAUCAGCUCUCUUUUUAAAGUGAAAUGGUUUGAAAAGAGGAAGUUUUGUAUUACUACCAGAAAUGGAAAGCUGGUAUCACAUGCCACGAAUAAGAGGUGACCCUACAAAUAAACACAGUGAACGGAAGUGCACUGUGAAUCCCAGCCAGAGAAGUGCCUGCGGGCUCUGAGCCUGAGGCCAGCUCUCGCUCUGUCCACACAGGGAUCAGAGGCCAGCGUGGGGAGACGUGCUCCAGCCAGGCCUGCUCCCCUCAAAAGCUUCGUGCCAACAGAAAAGUUCCUGUGCAGACUCAGGAGAGCGGGAAGGAGACCCUGGGACUGAGGGCCGAGGGUACGAAGGCAAGGGCACUGACAGAAGGAGGCGGGCAGGGCCGUCCAAAGACCUCGCCAGCCUGCAGCAUCACCCUCAUAGCCUGGCCUUGGUAUCCAACCUGUCACCGCUGCGAUGGAGGUUACAGGAGCCUGACCAGAGUUUGCCUCCCUGCUCUCCACCCCCCAGCUGUACCUGCUUCCCCCACUUAACCUUCGAGAGGACACUGCAGAAUGCAGACACGCGCACAAAGCGACUCACAGCGUCGUUUGAUGCCCUUUGAGCCUUAAGCCUGGCUGGUUAUGGUCCGAGGCUAGUCUUAUUUUAGGUGUGGUAGCUGUUUCAGGAAGUGACUCAGAGCAAGAGGAGCAUGCUGGCAGCUGAGGGUAGGGUCUUGAUGUACUCAUUUCAAGUUGCUUCUUCAUCAGUCUGGCAGAGGUCUUUGGUCAGACUUUGGGACAGAAUUGACACAUCAUGCCAGGGAGUGCUAAGAUGCUUCUCUGGCCAGAGAUAUUUUUUCGAAAUUGUGGGUGGCGUGAAUACUCGACCUCGAUAAGCCUGUAAAAGCAAUACUUAGGAGGCUGACUUCUUUCAAUUAAAACUGUAUGCAACUCUGA